rnacentral:rRNA from 1 species
UACGUAGGUGGCAAGCGUUGUCCGGAAUUAUUGGGCGUAAAGCGCGCGCAGGUGGUCCUUUAAGUCUGAUGUGAAAGCCCACGGCUCAACCGUGGAGGGUCAUUGGAAACUGGGGGACUUGAGUGCAGGAGAGAAGAGUGGAAUUCCACGUGUAGCGGUGAAAUGCGUAGAGAUGUGGAGGAACACCAGUGGCGAAGGCGGCCCCCUGGUUGGAUACUGACGCUGAUACGCGAAAGCGUGGGGAGCAAACAGG